CGCGCCCUGGGGCUGGCGCCGAAGACCGGACCCUCCUCUGCCAGGGAUGAGAAAACUGGAACACUGACAGAUCAAGUAUCUUUCUCAAGAUUGCAUAGCCAAUGAGUAGAGGAGCAAGGAUUUGAACCAGGCUGUUGGCUCCACAGCCUACGCUUGAACCUGCUCUAGGCUGUCGGAAGCAACCUAAAUAGCUAACAACUGGAGAUUUGCUAAGGUGUUGCGGGCCUCUGCUCUCGUAAUACUUCAGCUACAGAACCCACGUGUGAACGCUCCUAGCGCUCUGGAGAAGAUCAAAUGCAUGUGGAAGCUCUUUGAAAACCAUAAAGCCCUCUAAAUGAAAAGGCCUGUGAGGAUACAGUGAGAAGGUGGCCGUCUGCAAGCCUCACCAAGAACUGAAUCUGCCGGCACCUUGAUCUCGGAGUUCCUAGCCUCCAGAACUGUGAGAAAUAAACGUCUGUUGUUUCAGCCACCCACUCUAUGGUAUUUUGUUGUUGCAGCCUCAGCAGGCCAAGAUGAUGAGUGAGUAAAUAAAUGAAUGAAAUAAAACAAAGGCACAGAGGAGGAAAGCAAAUGAUAUGAACAAGGCAUAAAGGGUUACCUUUGAAAACGUGUACCACAGCUGAGUGUGGGAUGUGGCUAGAUGGGAUGAGUCCACUAGGCCAGUGAUUCUCAGUGUGGCCUGUGGACCAGCAGCCUCAGUAUCACCUGGGAACUUGCUAGAAAUGCAAGUUUCUGGGCCCCUCCUCAAGCCUACUGGAUCUGCAACUCAGGGAUGGGGCCAGCAAUCUGUGUUAUAGAAAUCCCUCUAGGGCAUUCUGAUGCAUAGUGAAGUUUGAGAACCGUGACUUUGUACUAUCAUGAGGAAUUUAGAAAUUAUUCUGUUGUAGAAUCAGUGUUAAU
rnacentral:lncRNA from 1 species